rnacentral:tRNA from 1 species
GGAGGAGUCGCAUAGUUGGUCUAGUGCGGCCGCCUGCUAAGCGGUUAUCGGUGUUUAAAGCCGAUCGUGGGUUCGAAUCCCACCUCCUCCGCCA